GAUGAAGAACGUAGCGAAAUGCGAUAAGUAAUGUGAAUUGCAGAAUUCAGUGAAUCAUCGAAUCUUUGAACGCACAUUGCGCCCGCCAGUAUUCUGGCGGGCAUGCCUGUUCGAGCGUCAUUUCAACCAUCAAGCCCCCGGCUUGUGUUGGGGACCUGCGGCUGCCGCAGGCCCUGAAAACCAGUGGCGGGCUCGCUGUCACACCGAGCGUAGUAGAUUUUCAUCUCGCUCAGGGCGUGCUGCGGGUUCCGGCCGUUAAAAAGCCUUUUUUACCCAAGGUUGACCUCGGAUCAGGUAGGAAGACCCGCUGAACUUAAGCAUAUCAAUAACGGAGGA
rnacentral:misc_RNA from 1 species